CUCAUUUUAUCAAUCAUCGACUUCUCAAAAUAUGAAAACUCAAAAACUCAUAUAAACUAAACUAAGUCAAAAAUUUUCUUAGCCAACAAAAGACUUACUCAAAUAUAAUUAUACACUAAUAUCAUGCUCAAAUACAUAUAUCUUAAGCCAAAAUCACUUAAAUAACACUUAGGCAAAAAGUCCUAAUUUUUAUUAAACUAAACUCUUUUGAAAAUAUCACUAAUCAUGUAUAACCUAUUGAUCAAAUCAUAGAUCUAACAUCCUAGGUUACCAAUUAGCACAAAUCAACAUCAUAAAACAAGAUCACAUAUAGAUACACAUGUAUGUCAUCUUCUUCCUCAAACUAACACUUUUCAUUUUUCACCUCUCAACCUCAAGCUUCAAUCUCAUCCAUCAUUAAUCAUCUAGAUCAUCUCAUAAACUCAAAUCCAUCAUCAAUACAUCAAUUGAUUCAUAGGAUCUCAACAUCCCAAUUUUAGGUAAACUAACCUAAUAGAAAAAUCUAUAUCUCAUGGCUAAUCAUCAAGAUAUUCAUAUAUAUAUUAACUCAAUAAUCAUCAAUCAUCAUAUAAAUCAUCGACUCACAAUUUCCCAAUUUUUUUUGUAAACUAAACUCAAUCGACUUUCACAUCUCAAAGCAUAUACUUUCACAACACACAUCAAUCAUCAACAAACACCACAUAGAUCUCAUUUUUUUUUCCCAAAUCAAGGAAAGAAAAAGAAAAUUUUUGAAGGGUAAAGACCCAUUUUUUGAAAAUUUUAAGAACAAGGGAGAGGUGAUUUUCUUUCUUCAUACAACAUCAUUCAAGCAAGAUUUAUGGAAUAUAUGACCACUUACCCAAAUUUCUCACCAAAACUCACAUUUUCUCACUCUAGCUUGGAAGCCUUUCUUCAAUGAUUCUCUUGAAUAUAAGUAGCUAGGAUGUGUUUAUGGAAGAUUUUAGAGUGGAUUGAGGUGUUUUGUAAAAUUUUUGGAAGCUCCGAAGGUCUCUUCAAUGGAGGAAAAUGGAGGAAAGUGAGAGAAAGAGGGAGAGAGGUGUUGGUCGAAAAUGAUGAGUGAGUAGUGAGAGAGGAUUUUGCAAGAUUGUAAAUGAUCUUGUGAUCUUUAAAGAGGAUUUUGUAAUCUUAAGGAAAUAUUGACAAUUAAUGCCUUGAUCUCUCUCUCUCUAAUCUCUACACUAUCUCUCUAAUCUCUACACUCUCUUCAAUAAUCUCUACACUUGGCAAAUUGUGGUAUUUAGUCACAUGGUAGGGAAAUUAAAGUAAUAGUGUGAGAAGGGUGAUCAAAAAUAAAU
rnacentral:lncRNA from 1 species